ensembl:snRNA U6atac minor spliceosomal RNA
CUGUUGUGUGAAAGGAGAAGGUCAGCACUCCCCUUGACAAAGAAACAAGCAGCCCUAAUGAAUGACCUUCUGCACUGCCUCCUGCUUCACGAGAUCGCUAAACAAUUUUU